rnacentral:rRNA from 1 species
GGCCUACCAUGGUGGUAACGGGUAACGGGGUGUUAGGGCACGACACCGGAGAGGGAGCCUGAGAAACGGCUACCACAUCCAAGGAAGGCAGCAGGCGCGCAAAUUACCCAAUCCCGACACGGGGAGGUAGUGACAAUAAAUAACAAUACAGGGUUCUUUUGGAUCUUGUAAUUGGAAUGAGUACAAUUUAAAUCUCUUAACGAGGAACAAUUGGAGGGCAAGUCUGGUGCCAGCAGCCGCGGUAAUUCCAGCUCCAAUAGCGUAUAUUAAAGUUGUUGCAGUUAAAAAGCUCGUAGUUGAAUUUCGGGAUCAAUAUUUCGGUCAUGCCGUUGGUAUGCACUGUUAUCAUUGAUUUCUCACCUUCUAAAGAACCGUGAUGCCAUUAAUUUGGUGUUACGGGGAAUUAGGACUGUUACCUUGAAAAAAUUAGAGUGUUUAAAGCAGGCUCACGCUUGAAUACAUUAGCAUGGAAUAAUGAAAUAGGACAUCCGAUUCUAUUUUGUUGGUUUCUAGGAUCGAUGUAAUGAUUAAUAGGGAUAGUUGGGGGCAUUAGUAUUCAAUUGUCAGAGGUGAAAUUCUUGGAUUUAUUGAAGACUAACUACUGCGAAAGCAUUUGCCAAGGAUGUUUUCAUUAAUCAAGAACGAAAGUUAGGGGAUCGAAGACGAUCAGAUACCGUCGUAGUCUUAACCAUAAACUAUGCCGACUAGGGAUCGGAUGAUGUUAAUUUUUUAAUGACUCAUUCGGCGCCUUACG